UAUCGAUUUGAGACUCCUUAAGAUGAGGAGGCUGGCCAUCAGACCUUGAAGGAGGUGGCCACACAGAGAUUUCAGGAUGGGCUGUAUAGCCUUCAAUAGUCCACCAUAGAGCACUCUAGUUCUGCAUCACCAUUAGACUGAAAGUCUUACACAGAUCAUUGGAAGCAGAUGGAUAUAUGGGUGGCCCUCUAUAACCAGUGGAGUACUGAAGAGUACUCUAGUAGGCGGCAGAGGGCAUAGUAGAAUCGAUCCAUCCAGU
rnacentral:lncRNA from 1 species